rnacentral:RNase_P_RNA from 1 species
GGCAGAGAGAGCCCGGCUCCCGUGCCCGUUCGGGCAUGAGGAAAGUCCCCCCACCGUCCGGAUAGGUGACCGGGCGCAAGCCCGGAGUCGGAGACGGCUGGCUCUGGAACAGAAACGAGACCCCUCGACCCGACCGAUGAUGCGUGCGAACCGACCCGAGAGGGAAGGAAGAUAACCCGCAGAGGGCCGACGGUCGAGAAUGGAUGGAACGGUGAAUCCUCACUGGUGCAAGUCCGCGCCGCGAAGGUAGUCCGGACGGCACGCUCGGGUUCGCCCGACGUGCCCUCAGGCUUCGGCCUGGGGAGGACGCGGACGCUGAGCCGAAUGCUGGGAUGAACAGAAGGGGGCUUACUCCUCUCAGCC